UAAUAUUUCUAAAAAAUCUAGUAGAACUAUUAUAUUGUUUUUUUAAGGACUCCAUAAAAAAGUUUGGUAAAUCCUUUUGUUUUCCAAACAUGGUGGUAAAUCACUUUGUUUUCAAACAAAGAGGUCAAAAGUUUUAGUCUUAUAAAACUUGCUUUUUUGGUCUUUUUAAAUUCAAACUAACAUUAAUGUUUUUAAAGAAUGAGAUUGAAAAAAAAAAAAAAACAAACACACGCAUGCGCAACAACCUGUCUAAGCAUUUUCCUAGUGCAUAGCAGAUGGUAUUUAAGAGAUGGACGAAUUACAAGGUGAUCUCGGCUGUUUGUUUUGAGUCUAAAGGAUACAACCAAAUAACUGAAUUGUGAUGGAAGUAACUUUGCUUGGUUUGUUACUUGUUUAAGGAAAGUAGGCAAACAUGUAAUGGAUCCUUACGUAGGGAACAACUUAUAAAUGUUUUUUUAUUGUUUUUGUUUACAUUUCGAAUUUUGCAUUGUACUUUUAUUGUGCGUUUAAAAAAAUAAGGAAUGAUCAUAUAUUUUUAUU
rnacentral:lncRNA from 1 species